GCUGAGGUAGUGUAGUGGUAAGCACGUGGGAUUUUGACGAACCGUUGUUCAAACAUCAAAAUUUCCCGAGUCCCCGGUUCGAACCCGGGCCACAGCU